CGGAUGCGAAGGCUUCGGGGUUCUCGCCGGGUACUUCAGGGACGAUCGCCGUCGUGAGUGCCGCCCAAGACGGUACCUUUUUCAGCUGAAUUCUAACAGCAAAUUACCUCAGUCAUGGAAGGGCGCAAUGUUGCUGUUGGUCUGGUACAGAGAGAAGCCGCAAAGGUACGAUCGAGCCUGGAAAGAUGUCAGUGGAAGGAUUACUAUUGAGUUGCAACAUCAGGAAAGGAAUCGUGAGGAAUGUCUACGUUU